CCUGCUGCUCUGGGGCCCCCUGUUGAACUUAUGGGGCGGGCAAGUGCCUACCCCCUUAUCGGCGGCCCUGCUGUGCUGCCUAUAGCUUGUACAGAGCUGGGUGAGGUACCCAGCAGAUAUACAGGAAGGGGCGGGGACAAGACCAGUCACCCUGCACCAGGAGCGAGAACAGCAACGACCGGUCUUUAUUACAGGAAGCUCCUGCUGCUCUGGGCCCCCCUGUUGAAUUUAUGGGUGCCUGGGGCGGGCAAGUGCCUACCCCCUUAUCAGCGGCCCUGCUGUGCUUGCCUAUAGCUUGUACAGAGCUGGGUGAGGUACCCAGCAGAUAUACAGGAAGGGGCGGGGACAAGACCAGUCACCCUGCACCAGGAGCGAGAACAGCAAUGACUGGUCUUUAUUACAGGAAGCUCCUGCUGCUCUGGGCCCCCUUGUUGAACUUUUGGUGCCUGGGGCGGGCAAGUGCCUACCCCCCUAUCAGCGGCCCUGCUGUGCUGCCUAUAGCUUGUACAGAGCUGGGUGAGGUACCCAGCAGAUAUACAGGAAGGGGCGGGGACAAGACCAAUCGCCCUGCACCAGGGGCGAGAACAGCAAUGACCGGUCUUUAUUACAGGAAGCUCCCGCACACAGGCAAAGGUUCCCACUAGUUUGCUGCACAGAUCUGGAAGAAAUCCUUAAAGCACACCAAAAUUCAAGGAAGAAUACACACAUGGCGAACGUAUUUAGACAAUAGUCGCUUCCUGGAGUUCAGCUUUAAAUGACCACUAAAUUGCUGGUUGUUUUAUGUAAAAAAAAAAAAAAGUGUUGAUGUUCGUGGAUACGUAAAAGCAUUUUGAGAACUGUAAUUAUUUUAAAGGACGAUGGUAUUCCCCCGCGGAAUACUGCCGCUCACAGGUAACAAUAGGCUGCUCAGACAUUUCAAUACAAUGGGGGAGAUUUACU